AUGACGCAGCGCUGAAGGAGGGAACAAGAUGGAACUAAAUAGUACUAAUUAACAAUGUGGAACAUAGCUGUGCUGGAAGGACAAGUUCAGAAAGUAAAAGUGCUGUGAACUUGACGUGGAAAUGUGCGUUGCCUCAUGCCCACUUCAUGCUUCACAUAUGCACAUUUCUACAUGCUGUGGAUACUUUGGUGACACAGGUGUGUUUGCCAACACUUGAUUUCAACAAUGAAAAAGAUCAAGGGUGUUCUUGUGACUCUAACCCCAGUCGUACGGACUACAACGACCGGCGACUGCCGGUGGUUGAGGCACACUGGCACCGGAGACGGUGGAGGAAAGUCCCGACUUUGUGUUUCGUACGGCUGCUACCGCAAGUAGUUCUCCUGGGUUGUAAUAAUAAAUUGAUUAAUCUAA